rnacentral:rRNA from 1 species
UACGUAGGGGGCAAGCGUUGUCCGGAAUCAUUGGGCGUAAAGAGCGCGUAGGCGGUCCGAUAAGUCGGCUGUGAAAGUCAGGGGCUCAACCCUUGAAAGCCGGCCGAUACUGUCGGACUAGAGUUCGGAAGAGGCGAGUGGAAUUCCCGGUGUAGCGGUGAAAUGCGCAGAUAUCGGGAGGAACACCAAUGGCGAAGGCAGCUCGCUGGGACAUGACUGACGCUGAGGCGCGAAAGCGUGGGGAGCAAACAGGG